rnacentral:rRNA from 1 species
AUACGGAGGAUCCGAGCGUUAUCCGGAUUUAUUGGGUUUAAAGGGUGCGCAGGCGGGAGAUUAAGUCGGCGGUGAAAUUUUGCAGCUCAACUGUAAAAGUGCCUUCGAAACUGGUUUCCUUGAGUGUAGAUGAAGUAGGCGGAAUUUGGGGUGUAGCGGUGAAAUGCAUAGAUAUCACGAGGAACGCCGAUUGCGCAGGCAGCUUACUAAACUACUACUGACGCUCAGGCACGAAGGCGUGGGGAUCAAACAGGAUUAGAUACCCUGGUAGUCCACGCAGUAAACGAUGAUUACUAGCUGUUUGCGAUACAAUGUAAGCGGCUGAGCGAAAGCGUUAAGUAAUCCACCUGGGGAGUACGUUCGCAAGAAUGAAACUCAAAUGAAUUGACGGGG